UGGCACAAGACUGACCAUAUGACAUCCUGAGGACACAUUAGUGAAACCAAACUGAAAGUUGUGUUGCUCAUGGUGCAUGUGGGCCUUUGAUUCUUCAACUUGAAGUGGAACAACUCCAUCUCUAGCAUAUCUACUUCGAGGUACGUUGUAGUCUUGUUGAUAAUCAACAAGGUCCAGACUAUUGUUAUUGUUACCACUGUUUUUCUCUGAACUAGGCAACAACCAAGAAGCCACCUCUGUUUCAUCCUCUUCUUCUUGUCCCAUCACCACUAUGUUCUCUGGACCUGUCAUCGC
rnacentral:lncRNA from 1 species